AUUGAACGCUGGCGGCAUGCUUUACACAUGCAAGUCGAACGGCAGCGCGGGGUAACCUGGCGGCGAGUGGCGAACGGGUGAGUAAUAUAUCGGAACGUACCCAAGAGUGGGGGAGAACGUAGAGAAAGGUACGCUAAUACCGCAUACGAUCAAAGGGUGAAAGUGGGGGAUUCGAAAGACCCUCAUGCUCCUGGAGCGGCCGAAAUCUGAUUAGCUAGUUGGUGAGGUAAAGGCUCACCAAGGCGACGAUCAGUAGCUGGUCUGAGAGGACGACCAGCCACACUGGGACUGAGACACGGCCCAGACUCCUACGGGAGGCAGCAGUGGGGAAUUUUGGACAAUGGGCGCAAGCCUGAUCCAGCAAUGCCGCGUGAGUGAAGAAGGCCUUCGGGUUGUAAAGCUCUUUUGUCAGGGAAGAAACGGUUGGGGCUAAUAUCCUCGGCUAAUGACGGUACCUGAAGAAUAAGCACCGGCUAACUACGUGCCAGCAGCCGCCGUAAGAC
rnacentral:rRNA from 1 species